CUACGGGAUGCACCAGUGGGGAAUAUUGGGCAAUGGGCGCAAGCCUGACCCAGCAACGCCGCGUGAGGGAAGAAGGUUUUCGGAUUGUAAACCUCUGUCCUUGGGGACGAAGAAGUGACGGUACCCAAGGAGGAAGCUCCGGCUAACUACGUGCCAGCAGCCGCGGUAAUACGUAGGGAGCAAGCGUUGUCCGGAAUUACUGGGCGUAAGGGGUGCGUAGGCGGCAUAUUAAGUCAGGUGUGAAAUACUCGGGCUCAACCCGGGGGCUGCAUUUGAAACUGAUAUGCUUGAGUGUGAGAGAGGAAAGUGGAAUUCCUAGUGUAGCGGUGGAAUGCGUAGAUAUUAGGAGGAACACCAGUGGCGAAGGCGACUUUCUGGCUCAUAACUGACGCUGAGGCACGAAAGCGUGGGGAGCAAACAGGAUUAGAUACCCUGGUAGUC
rnacentral:rRNA from 1 species